AACAACUUUAUUUUUCGUUUUUUCGUGUUUAACAUUUGACCAUUCGUCUUAUUUGAAUUUUUUUUAUGAUUAAUAUUUUUAUUGUUACUAGAUGAUAAAAUAUAAAUAGUACUUUAUAUGUGACUAAUUUUUUUAAGUUUUUGUAUAAAUUUUUUAAAUAAGACGAAUGGUCAAACGUUAGACAUGGAAAAAC
rnacentral:pre_miRNA from 1 species